rnacentral:tRNA from 2 species
AAGGGAUUAGCUCAGUGGUAGAGCAUUUGUUUUACACACAAACUGUCGAAAGUUCGAAUCUUUUAUUCCUUA